UACGUAGGGGGCAAGCGUUGUCCGGAUUCAUUGGGCGUAAAGAGCGUGUAGGCGGCCAGGUAGGUCGGUUGUGAAAACUGGAGGCUCAACCUUCAGACGUCGACCGAAACCAUCUGGCUAGAGUCCGGGAGAGGAGAGUGGAAUUCCUGGUGUAGCGAUGAAAUGCGCAGAUAUCAGGAAGAACACCCGUGGCGAAAGCGGCUCUCUGGAACGGUACUGACGCUGAGACGCGAAAGCGUGGGGAGCGAACAGG
rnacentral:rRNA from 1 species